UGGCACCUACGGGGGCCUUUAACAUAGCUGGUCCAAAGACAAGAACCUAAGGACCACGCACGCUAAACGGAAGACAGAAA
rnacentral:ncRNA from 1 species